GUUGCCCSCUCGUACGCGACCCCAGGUCAGGCGGGGCUACCCGCUGAGUUUAAGCAUAUCAAUAAGCGRAGGAAAAGAA
rnacentral:rRNA from 1 species